rnacentral:rRNA from 1 species
UACGUAGGGUGCGAGCGUUAAUCGGAAUUACUGGGCGUAAAGCGUGCGCAGGCGGUCUGUUAAGACCGAUGUGAAAUCCCCGGGCUUAACCUGGGAACUGCAUUGGUGACUGGCAGGCUUUGAGUGUGGCAGGAGGGGGGGUAGAAUUCCACGUGUAGCAGUGAAAUGCGUAGAGAUGAUGGAGGAAUACCGAUGGCGAAGGCAGCCCCCUGGGCCAACACUGACGCUCAUGCACGAAAGCGUGGGGAGCAAACAGG